AGCGAACGCUGGCGGCAGGCCUAACACAUGCAAGUCGAACGGAUCCUUCGGGAUUAGUGGCGGACGGGUGAGUAACACGUGUGAACGUGCCCUUUGGUUCGGAACAACUCAUGGAAACUUGAGCUAAUACCGGAUGUGCCCUUCGGGGGAAAGAUUUAUCGCCAUUGGAGCGGCCCGCGUCUGAUUAGCUAGUUGGUGAGGUAACGGCCCACCAAGGCGACGAUCAGUAGCUGGUCUGAGAGGAUGAUCAGCCACACUGGGACUGAGACACGGCCCAGACUCCUACGGGAGGCAGCAGUGGGGAAUCUUGCGCAAUGGGCGAAAGCCUGACGCAGCCAUGCCGCGUGAAUGAUGAAGGUCUUAGGAUUGUAAAAUUCUUUCAGCGGGGACGAUAAUGACGGUACCCGCAGAAGAAGCUCCGGCUAACUUCGUG
rnacentral:rRNA from 1 species